rnacentral:rRNA from 1 species
AGUCGAGCGGGGAAAGGUAGCUUGCUACCUGACCUAGCGGCGGACGGGUGAGUAAUGCUUAGGAAUCUGCCUAUUAGUGGGGGACAACAUUCCGAAAGGAAUGCUAAUACCGCAUACGCCCUACGGGGGAAAGCAGGGGAUCUUCGGACCUUGCGCUAAUAGAUGAGCCUAAGUCAGAUUAGCUAGUUGGUGGGGUAAAGGCCUACCAAGGCGACGAUCUGUAGCGGGUCUGAGAGGAUGAUCCGCCACACUGGGACUGAGACACGGCCCAGACUCCUACGGGAGGCAGCAGUGGGGAAUAUUGGACAAUGGGCGAAAGCCUGAUCCAGCCAUGCCGCGUGUGUGAAGAAGGCCUUUUGGUUGUAAAGCACUUUAAGCGAGGAGGAGGCUACUUAGAUUAAUACUCUAGGAUAGUGGACGUUACUCGCAGAAUAAGCACCGGCUAACUCUGUGCCAGCAGCCGCGGUAAUACAGAGGGUGCGAGCGUUAAUCGGAUUUACUGGGCGUAAAGCGUGCGUAGGCGG